UGUCACCAGUGGCUUCUUUAUUGACAUGC
rnacentral:piRNA from 1 species